rnacentral:snRNA from 1 species
UUGCUUGGGUAGCUAUACUAAAAUUGGAACCAUACAGAGAUGAUUAGCAUGAACCCUACAUAAGAAUAACAUGCAACUUUGAAGUGUUCCAUAUUUUU